rnacentral:rRNA from 1 species
GUCUACGGCCAUACCACCCUGAACACGCCCGAUCUCGUCUGAUCUCGGAAGCUAAGCAGGGUUGGGCCUGGUUAGUACUUGGAUGGGAGGAUAUUAAGAGUUAAAGUUU